UACAGAGGUCCCAAGCGUUGUUCGGAUUCACUGGGCGUAAAGCGCACGUAGGCGGCUUGUUAAGUCAGGGGUGAAAUCCUGGAGCUCAACUCCAGAACUGCCUUUGAUACUGGCGAGCUUGAGUCCGGGAGAGGUGAGUGGAACUGCGAGUGUAGAGGUGAAAUUCGUAGAUAUUCGCAAGAACACCAGUGGCGAAGGCGGCUCACUGGCCCGGUACUGACGCUGAGGAGCGAAAGCUAGGGGAGCAAACGGG
rnacentral:rRNA from 1 species